rnacentral:misc_RNA from 1 species
CGGCGGCAAUACCUGGAAACAAAUUGAGCAAAGACAAAAAAGUAAUUAAAAAAAUAGUAUUAAAGUAUGAAGAUGAGUCUUCUGCCAAAUAACUAAGAGAUUAGAAGAGCAUAAAUGCAUUCAUUAUUGUUAGCUCCCAAAGAGAGUUUACUUGAUCCAUUUGUGAUCACAAUUAACAUAUAAAAAUUUGUCUGAACUUAAUUAAACAUGUACACCAGCAGCCCAACUGCUAAUGAAGUCAACAUGAGCUUGAUAAUCAAAAUUAUUCUUAGCUUGACAAUAGAUGCUGCCUGCCUCAUCUUAGAUGGCUCUCCAUCAUUCUAUACUCAUUCCAUGCAUCAUAUUUGACAACAUUCUUCAUUAUUUUCAAAUUAUUCAUAUUCAACAAAUUUUCCAUGACAAACGAAAUGGAACUUCCUAUAAAAUUAAGCUCAUGAAAACACCAGCCUUACCCUCCAAAAUACUUUUGCCUG